rnacentral:rRNA from 1 species
CCUACGGGUGGCUGCAGUGGGGAAUAUUGCACAAUGGGCGCAAGCCUGAUGCAGCCAUGCCGCGUGUGUGAAGAAGGCCUUCGGGUUGUAAAGCACUUUCAGCGGGGAGGAAGGCGGUGAGGUUAAUAGCCUCAUCGAUUGACGUUACCCGCAGAAGAAGCACCGGCUAACUCCGUGCCAGCAGCCGCGGUAAUACGGAGGGUGCAAGCGUUAAUCGGAAUUACUGGGCGUAAAGCGCACGCAGGCGGUCUGUCAAGUCGGAUGUGAAAUCCCCGGGCUCAACCUGGGAACUGCAUUCGAAACUGGCAGGCUAGAGUCUUGUAGAGGGGGGUAGAAUUCCAGGUGUAGCGGUGAAAUGCGUAGAGAUCUGGAGGAAUACCGGUGGCGAAGGCGGCCCCCUGGACAAAGACUGACGCUCAGGUGCGAAAGCGUGGGGAGCAAACAGGAUUAGAUACCCCUGUAGUC